rnacentral:lncRNA from 1 species
CCACCACGUAUGAUUUUAAUUUCCUAACCAGCCUAGAUCCCAUAAAAAAGAUAAAUCAAAAUUCAGCUUAGGGACUAAACAAGGAGUUGAUUAAAUCAUUCAACCCCACACAAAGCAAGGGAAAGAUAUUUUAGUAACUUUUUCAGCAGUGUACACUGUCCAGUACACCUCUAGCACCUGGAAAAGGAAGACAAAGAGAGCACCCUGGAAUUAUACAAUUGUCUGCAGCUUGAAAGAGAAAGAGACACUUCCCAGCUAGCCACAACAUUUCUCAUCUUUCAUCACACUAGGAAAAGAGGAGGAGAGAGAUUGUUGCAAGGGCAUUAUUUUUACUCAGAUCAGCAAGCUGAUCCAAAUGAUUCAACCAUCCAAGUCAGCAAACAGAGCACAAGCCACUGGUAGGCACAGGUUACUCAAAGAAGAAAUGGUGGUGGGCAUGGCAAUCCGUGAUUCCUUGCUAUCAGUCCAGAGACACAAGGUCACCAAGUUUACACAGCAACAGCCUGUGGCUCUGGAACAGGAAGUAGAAAAUUGACAGGAUCUCCAGGAAAAACAAGGUACAAUGGUUGCUGGUCUUAUUUACAGCUUUCAGAAAGCCUCUAAUACAUAUGAGAGGGAGAAAAAAAAAAAAAACCAUCAAAGAAUAGGCUCUUUAUUCCUCUUGUAAGCAUUAUAUACAGUUAAACAUAGAGGAUUUACUAAAGAGGAGCUGGUUAUUUUAAAAUAGGUACUUCAAAAGAAGGCACUAUCUGAACUGACAUCCUCAUGAAGGGCAAUCUUGUGUUUUGUCUUUUAAGCAAAAAGAUACCAAAUUUCCCAAACAUUAAAGAACACAUUUUUCCUACUUCUGAUAUUACUGGGAAGUUUGGUUUCAAAUUUGGUACUUCUUG